GGCCUGGUUCGGAUGGAGGGUUGCAGAGUGUCGCGAGAGAGAGGAGUCGGUGUUAAGUAAGGCUGAGAGUUUGCCCUGAGCAACGAUCAAUUUUUGACUUGAAGAUGUUGGUGGAAGUUGGGGUUGGGGGGAAUCCUAGGAAGCACAGGUACGGGCGGUGGGCAAGCAAGUCAUCGCUGCGGGCAGCUGGACUCGGCCCUUCCGGGGGCCUCACGGAGACUGUGGGACACACCUCAGAUUUGCACCCUGGCACGGUGGGGGGGUGGGGGGGCGUUGUUCACUGACCCCCAUCCAUCUCUGUUAGAACGCUGCUUCCAGGGCAUGAAUUCUCUGGCACUUUGGUCUGGGCGUGCACGUUCCUGUGACCAGAGAAAGCCCUGGGCAGAGUGCAGGAGCUUGCAAUAAAAAGCUGUAGGUGGGUGUGGAGGACAGAUGUGUGGGCUCCGACAGCAUCUGCUCCAACGUCCGUGUGGAGGUGUGAGUCCCUGUGAGAGGGAGGGUGAGAGGGGUGCACGUGGAGAACAUGUUCAGCUGUGAAACCAGAUGAGAUCGUCACAGAGAGGGCAGUGUAAAAAGAGAAGAAGCCCAAGGACAGAGCACCGGGGCCUCCAGCUGUCAGAGGUCCAGUAAAGAAGGAAGAAUCAGGAAAAGAGACUGAGAAGCCUUGAUCAGGGAUCUGGGGAACUGCUAACUUCGGGCAUUCCUGCCUUCACCAUGCCACGCAGGAGCUGAGGACUCAGCGGUGAGUGUGGUCCUGGGUCCCGAGGUGUCCUUGGGGGCAAGAAUGGAGCUCAGACACUUCUGGGGGCCUUCCAGGUCCCCCCUACAUACGGCAGGGGAUGUCGUUUUCUCCAGAAGAGGAAAGGACGGCUGUGCCUGCCACACCGCCGAGGUGCUGAUGAGAAUGUGAGCUGGAGGGGAGGCGUGGGGAACUUACAGGAACAUCUGGAAACUUUCAGUGGCAGGGCUCAUGCUGGAGGAGCCCUUCAUUCAAGAAGUCCCUGCCUGCUAACCCUCCUUCACGAGGCCAGUCUGUUUCUCUGCCUUCAAGCAUUUCAGUUCAACAGACUUCUCCCAUGGCUGCUGUGUCCAGGAUGAGGAAGUCCAGUGCCUUUCCUGCAGCACGCUUCAUGCACCCCUUUCUUGGAAGGGAGGCUUCCACUCCUUGACCUCCCCCAUCUCCCACCACUGUGGCCAGGCCCUGGAGGGAUUAUCAGCAGCCUCGGUGCUGCCAGCCCAGGUCCCUCUUCAGCCUCCUCCUCCCUGACUUCUGGGCAGCUUUCCUGACCCCACAUCCUCAUGGGAUGCUCUUGCCAACGCCCCUCUGGCUGCCCUCUUGUGCCCCAGGUGCUGCCUGUUUCCUUCCCAGGCCCUCGCCUCUGCCGUGCCGCAGGUGCCAGCUACCUUCAGGGCUUCAUCCCCUCACUCCACACGCACUCCUGGAGAACGUGCCCAUGGCUUCAAUAACUUGUGGCUUCAAUUUGUUGGUACCCACCCCCACAAUACGUAUCUGUACCCCAGACUUGUUGUCUAAACUCCAGACGCACAAUUUGACUGCCCACUCCAUCCCCCCCUGGGAUGUCCUGAAGAGAAGCAGGAUGGAGAAGUCAGUGCUGCCCGGGACUGAUUUCAGUCUGUCUCCUCUCACCGUAAUAAACUGAGUCUGUGAGUGCUUCCAGGGAAUCAUUGAACCUGAGGCUGUUCUUGGGAGCCCCAAGUGGCACCCUCACAUCAGGCUGCUCACGUGGUCACUUCCCUGGCCGGAGCGCACCCUCCCUUGCCUGCUCCCCAGAGACUGUCUCUUUCCCUUUCACUCGCUGUGCUCCAGACACACCAGUCUCCUCUCUGUCCCCAGAAGACACCAAGCUCGUCCCCACGCAGGGCCUCCGUACUCACUACACCCGCUGCCGUCAGCCCCACGGCCACCGCCUUCUGGUGGCCAGGCUUCCUCGGCAAGGCUUUCCCUGCCCCCACCCCAGGCCCUCCAUCACGUCUCAGCUUAUUUUCUUCCCAGUACCUAUUACCAUCUGAAUUAUGUAGCUAAUGUUUUUGCUUUCACAUUGGCUUCUUACCUGUUUCUCACUCUGGAACAGAAGCUCCUUGAGGUCAGGAAUGUGCCUGUCUCACUUGCUUCUCUAUCCCUGGCCGUGGUAAAGACUCAGGAAGUGCUUGAGGAAUGAAUGAGUGAGUAAUGGAGUGAUCUCCCUGCUCAUAGCCUCACCUCUCCAUAACCGUCUAAGCAACUGGCAGCUUCAUGCUUCUAAAUGAAAAUCCACUCAAAGAUUCUUCAAAGUACCCACCAAUGAUGGGAUCACAUCCAUACUUCUUAGCCCAUGUAGACUAGCCAUCUACUGCUGUGUAACCAAUUACCCCAAAACUUAAGACAAGCAUCCAUUAUCUCACAGCUUCUGUGAGCCAGAAAUCUAGGUGUGGCUUCAGCGGCUCAGGUCUGCUGGUUUCUGCCAAGCUGUUGACCAGGGUGCUGGUCCAUCUGAAGACCUGAGCCCGCUUCCAGGCCCUCUCGUGUGGGUGUGGGCAGGCUCGGCACCCGGUCGCGGGGCCUUUCCACGGGCCGCCUCGCAGCCUGCUAAGGGACCGGGAGAGUGGGGCCGAGAUGGGGCCAUAGGCUUUUUUUUAAAUGAUGACAAUUGACAUAUAACAUUGUGUUAGUUUCAGGUGUACAACAUAAAGAUUUGGUAUUUGUAUAUAUUGUUAAAUGAUCACCACGGUGAGUCUAGUUAACGUCUGUCACCACACAGAGCCACAAAAAUAUUUUUCUUAUAAUAAUUCUAAGAUCUACUCUUUUAGAAACUCUCAGAUAUGCAACACAGUAUUAUUAACUAUAGUCACCAUGCUGUGCAUUGCAUCCCCAUGACUUAUUUAUUUUAUAACUGGAAGUUUGUACCUUUUGGCUCCUUCACCCAUUUUGCCCAUCCCCCCACCCCCUGCCUCUGGAAACUACCAAUCUGUUCUCUGUAUCUAUGAGCUCAUUUUUUGUUUGUGUGUUUUUUAAGAUUCCAAAUAUAAGUGAGAUUAUGGUAUUUGUCUUACUCUUCUUGACCUAUUUCCCUUAGCAUAAUGUCCUCAAGGUCCAUCCAUGUUGUAGCAAGAUGUCAUUUAUUUUUAUGGCUGAAUAAUAUUCGUGUGUAUGUAUGUGUGUGUGUGCGCAUGCACGUGCAUGCGUAUAUGAUAUCUUCUU